rnacentral:tRNA from 1 species
GCUCCUGUAGCUCAGCCUGGAUAGAGCAUCGGACUUCUAAUCCGAGGGUCGCAGGUUCAAAUCCUGUCGGGAGCG